UAGUUCUGAUGGUGCCUGGCAAAAGUGCUCUGCCCACGAUUAUUGAUCACAGAGUACGGAAAGUCUGAGACCCCACUUCUGCCGUCGAAGUCUCUCCUGGCUCAGCGGGGGAGUGAAGCCUGGUGUUCUGCCUAUGAUCCAGUCUGGCGCCCCUGAAGUUCAGUUGGUGGAGUGCUGCAGAAUGGCUGCCACACAUCAUCUAGGUGUGCUGUCAUUGUGAUGCAUGGAAUAUACCCAUUACCUGUUCCUUUGCAUCCCUAUGCAUGUUGAUGCAGCUACCUCCUUGUACUACAUAUAUGUAAGAAUGCUAUUCAUUGAUUACACCUCCACCUUUAAUACUAUAAUUCCAUCCAGACUAAUCACCAAGCUUAUUGAUCUGGGUAUCAGCACCGGUCUUGGAUCUGGAGUUGGAUUCUGGUUUUCCUAAAUGGCAGUUCACAGACUGAGUGUCGAUGGAAAGCUUUCUUCCAUGCUGGUCAUCAAUAUAGGGGCCCCUCAGGGCUGUAUGCUUAGCCUCCUGCUGUUUUCCUUAUUUACCCACAAUUGUGUGGCAAGACACAGUUCCAAAUGCAUCCAUAAGUAUGCUGACGAUACUGUCAUCACUGGCUGAAUCACCAGUAACGAUCAGACGGCCUAGAGGGAUGAGGUCAAGAACCUGGUGGAGUGGUGAUUGGACAAUAAUCUCUCUCUCAGUGUCAGCGAAACUGAAGAGCUGGUCAUCGAUUUCAGAAAGUGGGGUUGGGACCACUCCCCUGUUCACAUCAAUGGGGUGGCUGUAGAGAUGGUUAAUAACCUCUGGUUAUUGGAUACCAGCUAGUGCUGAGUUUUAUUUAAAUUGAGUGCUUAGCUUUGUUGUUAUCACUGUUGUUGUGUGUUUAAGUUGGUCUUUCUUUAAUGUCUUCGAAGUGGAGAAUGCAUGCAAAUGAGCUCUUCAUUGCACUUGUGCAUAUGACAAAUAAACUGAACUAUAAUUGGCCCUGGUGUGAGUGUGUGUGUUUGUAUCUGUGUGUCCCCAGUGAUGGCAAAGUGCCAUAUGGCAAAAUUGUCAGAAUCAUACGAGAUGUAGAUUCUAAAAGCUAUGCCUAAAAAGAAGUCUAUGUAAACAUUUCAGUAAGCAUCUAAAACAAAGGAACAUUACGAUUAUUUUGUGUUUUCGGUGUGAAUCAAUUCUGACAUCAAAUCCAGAC